GCGCCCGUAGCUCAAUUGGAUAGAGUGUCUGGCUACGGACCAGAAGGUUAGGGGUUCGACUCCCUUCGGGCGUACCA
rnacentral:tRNA from 1 species